rnacentral:tRNA from 1 species
GGGGUUAUAGUUUAACUUAAACCAUAAAGCUGUUAACUUUAAGAUGCUACUCAGGUGGCUUACCCCU